rnacentral:rRNA from 1 species
AGUCAGGCAACGAGCGAGACCCGCGUCCUCUGUUGCAACUAGCUUUGAGCUGGGCACACUGAGGAGACCGCCACUGAUAAAGUGGAGGAAGGAGCGGGCCACGGCAGGUCAGUAUGCCCCGAAUCUCCCGGGCCACACGCGAGCUGCAAUGGCAGGUACAAUGGGUUCCGACCUCGAAAGGGGAAGGCAAUCUCGAAAGCCUGCCGUAGUUGGGAUCGAGGGCUGCAACCCGCCCUCGUGAACAUGGAAUCCCUAGUAAUCGCGUGUCAUUAGCGCGCGGUGAAUACGUCCCUGCUCCUUGCACA